GACGAACGCUGGCGGCGUGCUUAACACAUGCAAGUCGAACGGAAAGGCCCUUCUUUUGUGGUGUGCUCGAGUGGCGAACGGGUGAGUAACACGUGAGUAACCUUCCCUUGACUUUGGGAUAACUUCAGGAAACUGGGGCUAAUACCGGAUCGGAGCUCCUGCUGCAUGGUGGGGGUUGGAAAGUUUCGGCGGUUGGGGAUGGACUCGCGGCUUAUCAGCUUGUUGGUGGGGUAGUGGUUUACCAAGGCUUUGACGGGUAGCCGGCAUGAGAGGGUGACCGGCCACAUUGGGACUGAGAUAGGGCGCAGACUCCUACGGGAGGCAGCAGUGGGGAAUAUUGCACAAUGGGGGGAAGCGUGAUGAAGCAACGCCGCGUGCGGGAUGAAGGCCUUCGGGUUGUAAACCGCUUGCGCCUGUGACGAAGCGGGAGUGACGGUAAUGGGUAAAGAAGCACCGGCUAACUACGUG
rnacentral:rRNA from 1 species